rnacentral:lncRNA from 1 species
AAAGGGAAAGUCAAAUGCGAAAUUACAAAAAGAAAAAGUUAAGGCAUUAUAUGUCUUAAUUACAAUCCGCCCCAUACCGAACGAAUUCUUUCCCUAAGUUUUCCCCAGUCCUCGUUCUGCCGAGAGGAAGUGAUGUUCAAUUCGGCCACAACAUCAUCAUCAACUUCCAACUUCUUGUACUGCUCGACCAAAGACUUAGUUCGCUCAAUUUCUUGGGAGGCGUUACGCUUUUUAGCAGCCAUUCUCGCCUUGCAGUCGUCCAUUUUGGCUUGAAGUUCCUUCAUCUGAGCAGCCAAACUAGCCAUCAAAGAGUCUUCAAUCAUGACUUCGGAAGAGAUUUCUUUCAACUCGUCCUCAGCUUUGUUGAUCUCCAGAAGCAAAGACUCUUUUUCAGAUACGGCGCGAAGAUAUUGAGUACUUUUGGCCUUCAGUUCAACAUUCUUGGCCAGCAAGGAGAGGAC